rnacentral:lncRNA from 1 species
CUGCCUCAGUCUCCCAAAGUGCUUGGAUUACAGGCAUGAGCCACCGUGCCCGGCCUUUCUCUGCUUUUGUAAGGUUAGACUUUGGAAUUAAAAGAGGGUGUCUGAGAUGACCAUGUCAGAAUUUGCUCCUUUACAGAGAAUAUUGAAGAUCCCUCUUUCCCUCUCUCUUUCUAAUGCUUUGCAUUUCUUGACACCUGAUGUAGGAUUGAUAAUAAGUUAAAAGCAUCUUUUCCAUUUCUUUAACUAGAGCAAAAUGAAGCCAUAAAAAUAUCUACCAACCCUGGGAAGCUCUUGCAUAAAUGACUGGUGUUUAUUGCUAAGAAUCCCUUUAAAUAGAGCUUCAGAAGGCCACAAUCAAUUGCUUCAAAAGACUUUAGCAGAAUAACUAUCAUCAUCAAGAUGCAUGAGGUCAGCAGUUUACAACAACAUUUGACAUGAAGCCUAUUGACUGAAGAGGAGGCUGAUCCCCUUGAAGAAGGGCUAUACAAUACUACAACAUGCAUUUCCAGAAGGCGUUUACCAUUUCAUCACUCAGGGGCUCUAUAGCCAUUUACCAAUACUCUGUACCCUGGGGCUGGGUAUGCUCAGAUCUUGUGAGGAUUACUUUAUAAGAGGGUAAGCCAAUAGUGAUACUAGAGGCUGUAAAAUUCUCUCAUGGCAUCCUUGUUAGAAUUGCUAAAUAUAAAGGCCAUGAAACACAUGGAGUCCUGGUCCAAGUUCAACUCAUAGCAGGUCUAGAGUAGAUCCAACCCACAACCCAUUCUUGGUCAUGUUUUCAGUUCCUGAGUACAGAAUCAUGGCAGCAACAUCAGCAACUAGCAGAAUCAUCAUUUUGGUUCCACAUUUGUGGAGUAAGAGCCACCUUGUUAGAAAAAGCCAAAUGGAAACCUCUGAAAUUGCCUUCCCCUACCUCUCCCUUAUAUUUUGGUUAAUAUGGUAAAUAAGAAGUAGUAAUAGAGUACUCUAUCCCAGGAGGAAUUGCAGGAACUGUAUCAAAGACUAAAAAGAUGCAGGGGUAGUAGUCUUCAUGAUAUCAAAGUUGAAUUGAACUAUAUAGCCUUUAUGAAAAACCUGGUUGAUGAAUCAUGGUAGAUGCAGGUGAACUUCAAAAUGAAACUGUACUAGUUUGUAUUGGUCAUUAUUAUUUUUAUUAUUACAAUUAUCCUGGAAGUCAAUGGAAGAAACUGUUUCCAUGAAGAGGAAGUGAUCAUCUAUGUAACUUGCUGUUGAGAUAUCAACUAAAAUCAGGACUAAGACUUGACUGUUGGAUUUAGCAGCAUUGUUGACCUUGACAAGAGCUAUUUAGGUAAAAUAGUGGUGGCAAAAGCUUGAUUGGGUAGAGUUAAAGACAAAAUGGAAGAGAAUAAUUGUAUAUAGAAUAUAUAAGCAACUCUUUUAAAAAAUGUUUCUGUUAAGUAAAAGAGAAGCAGUAGCUAAAGGGGAUUAGAGUUCAAGAGGAAUUUAUUUAUUUUUCCAUGGGAGAAACUAGAGCAUUUUAAAAAUGUAGAUGGGACAUAUUCAAACAAGAGGAAGUAUUUAUGUGGACUAGGGAAGAAUUGCUAUAGCAAUUUCCUUGAGUAGGUAAAAAGGGUUGGAAACCAGUGUACAAUUUUAAAAAAUUGCUUUUAAAUAGAUGAGGCAGUAUAUACAUAAAUGAAAUCAGUAGUGAGUGUUCCCUUCAGAUAACUGUAGUUGGAUUAGUAGCAGGCAAAUAUGGCUUCAGAGAAUACUAUGCUCAGGGGAUGAAAAGUAUUUAGGAUAUCUCAAAUAUCUUAUCAUUUAUUAUGUUCAUUUUUUGAAAGUUGAAGGUGUAGUGCUGUAAUUUUGUCUACUAUCAGCCCUGAUGAUUGGCUUAGCAUUUUCUAUUCACCACAUGCAAAAAGUAAUUACUCUUACCUUUCAUAUUGCUUUUACUUCUCUCUGACACAUUUUGAGGGAAAAUGCUAUGAUAUUCUAACAAUUCAGAUGAGAUAAGAGGCUAGUAUAACUCCACAUAUGAGGAAACUUCAAAAAGUUUGUGGAAAAAAAGGAAUAAAAAGAUAAAAAUAAAAAAUAUAAACUUUAUUUCUUAACAUAAGCUUCAUCAAGUUCAAGACACUUUUAAAAGUGAUGACACCAGCCAUUUAGUCUAUUCCUAAAGAACUGAGACCAUGAGAAUUUAACCAUGUCGGUGUUUUGUUUUAUUUUUUAUUUUUUUACUGAAGAAAAAUGGGAGUCUUUUACAGAUAUUUUAAGAUCAGAAAACAAAAAGAACUUCAGAAGAAGCCAAAUCAGGACUGUAAGGUGGAUGCUCAGCAAUUUCGCAUCAAAACUCUUGCAAAAUUGUCCUUGCUUGAUGAGAGAAAUGAAAAGGAGAAUUGCCACGGUGGAGAAGGACUCACUGGUGAGGCUUUCCUGGGUAUUUUUCUGCUAAAGCUUCAGCUAACUUUCUGAAAACACUCUCAUAAUAAGCAGAUGUUAUCAUUUUUUAGCCCUCCAGAGAGUAAACAAGCAAAAUGCCUUGAGCAUACCAAAAAACUGUUGCCAUGACCUUGCUCUUGACCAGUCCACUUUUGCUUUGACUAAACCACUUCCACCUCUUUGUAGCCAUUGCUUUGAUCGUGCUUUGUUUUCAGGAUCAUAUUGAUAAAACCAUGUUCCAUUUCCUGCUACAAUUCUUUGAAUAAAUGCUUCAGAAUCUUGAUCCUACUUACUUAAAAUUUCAUUGAAAACUCUGCUCUUGCCUGCAAUUGAUCUGGGUGCAAUGGUUUUGUCACCGAUCAAGUGUGAAAAGUUUGCUCCUUUAAAUUUUCAGUCACAAUUGUGUGAGCUGAAACAAUCGAGAUGUCUACAGUGUUGGAUAUUGUUUCUGCUGCUAAUCAUUGGUUCUGUUUAAUUAGGAGGCAAACAAGAUGAUUUUUUCCCUCAAAAUUGAUGUGGAUAGUCUGCCUCUGCAGGCUUCAUCUUCAACAUCAUCUCCUUUCUUCCUAAAACAAGAUACCCAUUUGUAAUCUGCUGAUUUCUUUGGGGCCUUGUCCUCAUAAACUUUUUGUAAAGGAUCAGUGAUAUCACCAUUCUUCCACCCAAGCUUCACCAUAAAUUUGGUGUUUGUUCUGGUUUCAAUAUUAGCAGAAUUCCUGUUGUUCUGAUAGGGUCUGUUUUCAAACUGAGGUCUUAUCCUUCUUAUUGCUUCAGACUAGAUCCUGUUCAAACAUGUUACAACAAGUUAGUACAAGUUUAUUUUGGUGCAGAAAAAUUGAAAUUUCUGCAUAGU